GACGAACGCUGGCGGCGUGCUUAACACAUGCAAGUCGAACGGAAAGGCCCUGCUUUUGUGGGGUGCUCGAGUGGCGAACGGGUGAGUAACACGUGAGUAACCUGCCCUUGACUUUGGGAUAACUUCAGGAAACUGGGGCUAAUACCGGAUAGGAGCUCCUGCUGCAUGGUGGGGGUUGGAAAGUUUCGGCGGUUGGGGAUGGACUCGCGGCUUAUCAGCUUGUUGGUGGGGUAGUGGCUUACCAAGGCUUUGACGGGUAGCCGGCCUGAGAGGGUGACCGGCCACAUUGGGACUGAGAUACGGCCCAGACUCCUACGGGAGGCAGCAGUGGGGAAUAUUGCACAAUGGGCGGAAGCCUGAUGCAGCAACGCCGCGUGCGGGAUGACGGCCUUCGGGCUGUAAACCGCUUUCGCCUGUGACGAAGCGUGAGUGACGGUAAUGGGUAAAGAAGCACCGGCUAACUACGCG
rnacentral:rRNA from 1 species